GGGGAUGUAGCUUAGUGGUGGAGCACUUGUCUUGCAUGCAUGAGGCUCUGGAUUCAAUCCCAGCACUGCAA
rnacentral:tRNA from 1 species